rnacentral:ncRNA from 1 species
UUUUUAUAGUUUAAAGAUUUUAUUAUAAAUUUAUUUUGCAUAUAAAUUUUAGUGUUAAUUAUUAACUAUUUUAAUAAUAUUUAAUAAAUACAAGUAGUAAUUAAUAUUAAAAAUUUAAGAAAUUAAGAUUUAGUAAUAUUUAAAUUAAUAACAAAUUUUGUGCCAGCAGUUGCGGUUAAACAAAAAUUAAAUUAAAAUUUAUUAGUAAUUAAUAAUUAAUAUUUUUUUAAUUAAAUAUUAAAUUAUAAGGUGAAAUUUUAAUUUAAUUAAAAUUAAAUUUUUAUUUAUGAUUUAAUAAAUUUUAUUUAUAAACUAGGAUUAGAUACCCUAUUAUUAAAAAUUUAAAUUUAUAAUACUAAAAUAGUAUAUAAUCAUUUAUUGAAACUUAAAUAAUUUGGCGGUAUUUUAGUUCAUUUAGAGGAAUCUGUUUAAUAAUUGAUAAUCCACGAAUAAAUUUACUUAAUUUAUUAUUUUGUAUAUCGUUGUUAUAAAAAUAUUUUAAAAUAAAAAUAAUAUUUAAAAAUUUAAAUAAAAAAUUAAAUCAGAUCAAGAUGCAGAUUAUAAUUAAGAAUAUAAUGGAUUACAAUGAAUUUAUUUAUAUGAAUAUUAAUUUGUAAAAAUUAAUUGAAAGUGGAUUUAAAUGUAAUUUUAUUUAAUUUAUUAAAAUGAUUAAAAAUUAAAAUAUGUACAUAUUGCCCGUCGCUUUCAUUAAUAAAUUGGAAUAAGUCGUAACAAAGUAGAGGUACUGGAAAGUGUUUCUAGAAA